rnacentral:rRNA from 1 species
AUUGAACGCUGGCGGCAGGCCUAACACAUGCAAGUCGAGCGAGCGGCGGACGGGUGAGUAAUGCCUGGGAAUAGCCCAGUCGAGGGGGAGAACAGUUGGAAAAGACUGCUAAAACCGCAUACGAUCCGAUUGCCCAGGUUGGAUUGGCUAGUUGGUGAGGUAAUGGCUCACCAAGGCGCCGAGCCCUAGCUGGUCUGCUAGGAUGAGUGGCCACACUGGAACUGAGACACGGUCCAGACUCCUACGGGAGGCAGCAGUGGGGAAUAUUGCACAAUGGGGGAAACCCGGAUGCAGCCAUGCCGCGUGUGUGAAGAAGGCCUUCGGGUUGUAAAGGACUUUCAGCGGGGAGGCGUUACUCGCAGAAGAAGCACCGGCUAACUCCGUGCCAGCAGCCGCGGUAAUUC